AUCAUCGAUUGGCUCCAUCUAUCUCUACUCGACGACGAUGACACCUUCGAAAAUGGCAGGAACUUCAUCGUCAUCUCGGAAAGCUAGGGUUAGGGGAAAACUUUCUGUUCAUGGAAAAACUUAUAAAACUAGGGUUACGAAAAAACACUCAUGAAGAACUCGUAAAGCUAAGGUUCCAAAAAAGCACUGCUUUGGAUCAGGAACAGGAACAACAACAACUGCAUCAUCAUCAUCAUCAUCCUCUCAGGUUGAAGGAAUUGGAGGAACCCCCUCUCUCAAACCGCAGCAGCAACCUGUCAACAUUUCAAACUCACCAGACAUAAUCCAAAAUAAUAACAACAACCUACAAGAACUACUUGCACCUGCUGUAACCAAAGAUGAUCUCGCUUAUCUAGCUUCUAUAAAUAGUUAUUCUCGUCAGGUGGGGCUUGAUUCCCCACCUCAUACCAAUUGCUUAUGCUCCCAACGUCGUGUACUUGGUAGUUAUCGAUUUUUCACCGAAGAAGAAGAAGAUGAUAUAAUUUUUAAUGGCUGGUGAUAUAGUCUCCAUAGUCGUCAUCUUGGUUUGAUUUGGUUUAUUAUUAUG